rnacentral:rRNA from 1 species
GACGAACGCUGGCGGCGUGCCUAACACAUGCAAGUCGAACGGAAGCAAAGAUUUCGGUUUUUGCUUUAGUGGCGAACGGGUGAGUAACGCGUGAGGAACCUGCCUUUCAGUGGGGGACAACAGUUGGAAACGACUGCUAAUACCGCAUAAUGCUUUUGAGUGGCAUCACUUAAAAGUCAAAGAUUUAUUGCUGAAAGAUGGCCUCGCGUCUGAUUAGCUAGUUGGCGGGGUAACGGCCCACCAAGGCGACGAUCAGUAGCCGGUCUGAGAGGAUGAACGGCCACAUUGGGACUGAGAUACGGCCCAGACUCCUACGGGAGGCAGCAGUGGGGAAUAUUGGGCAAUGGGGGAAACCCUGACCCAGCAACGCCGCGUGAAGGAAGAAGGCCUUCGGGUUGGUAAACGUUACUUUUACCUAGGGGCGAAAGGAAAUAGACGGUACC